GCCCCUAUAGCUCAGUGGUAGAGCGCGUCACUCGUACUGUGUAAUGCGAUAUGACGAGGUCCAUCGUUCAAUCCGGUGUGGGGGCA
rnacentral:tRNA from 1 species